rnacentral:rRNA from 1 species
UACGAAGGGGGCUAGCGUUGCUCGGAAUCACUGGGCGUAAAGGGUGCGUAGGCGGGUCUUUAAGUCAGGGGUGAAAUCCUGGAGCUCAACUCCAGAACUGCCUUUGAUACUGAGGAUCUUGAGUUCGGGAGAGGUGAGUGGAACUGCGAGUGUAGAGGUGAAAUUCGUAGAUAUCGCAAGAACACCAGUGGCGAAGGCGGCUCACUGGCCCGAUACUGACGCUGAGG